CAGAUUUCGAUUGCGUACGCAUACGCCUCGCGAUAUUACACUGUAUGACGUCGGGGUGUCUGUAUCGUUGGGUGUACCGGUUAAUUUAAAGGCGGCGUUUUUACGACGAAACGAACGUCCGAAGUGCGUGCCGCCGUACCGACAGAGAAAAUAAAAAAUAAAAUGAAACAACGUGCAAAAUAAUAAUAAUUCGCAACGGCUGCAUUUA